GAUGAGUAGGAGGGCGCGGCGGCCGCUGCAAAACCCGGGGCGCGAGCCCGGGCGGAGCGGCCGUCGGUGCAGAUCUUGGUGGUAGUAGCAAAUAUUCAAAUGAGAACUUUGAAGGCCGAAGAGGAGAAAGGUUCCAUGUGAACGACACUUGCACAUGGGUAAGCCGAUCCUAAGGGACGGGGUAACCCCGGCAGAUAGCACAUUCACGCGCAUCCCCCGAAAGGGAAUCGGGUUAAGAUUUCCCGAGCCGGGAUGUGGCGGUUGACGGCGACGAUAGGAAGUCCGGAGACGCCGGCGGGGGCCUCGGGAAGAGUUAUCUUUUCUGCUUAACGGCCUGCCAACCCUGGAAACGGUUCAGCCGGAGGUAGGGUCCAGUGGCCGGAAGAGCACCGCACGUCGCGUACACGGACCCGUACACGGACCCGUGAACGGGUACGAGAGUCCGGGAAAAAAUGGCCCAUACACCAUGCGAACCGGCUCAAAACUAGCUAAUGAUGGUCAACAAACGGU
rnacentral:ncRNA from 1 species